CGGUGCCAGGUACUCCAUGGCCCGGCACCGGUCCGCGGACCGGGGGUUGGGGACCACUGGUGUAGCCGAUUGGGUUGGGACUGGAAGAUGGUGCAUCAGUCAUGUUUGCAUGACAAAUCAGUGGUGGGUUGCUACCAGUUCACCCCAGAUCGGGCAAAGCGGUAGAGGCAGGAGGCUCCGCCCACCCACCCGGACGUCUCUGCACAUGUGCAGAAGCAUCACAUCCAUGCCCAUGAGCAAACCGGUAGCAAACGAAAUUGAAACCCACUACUGUGACAGAUGUGUGGUGAAUUAACUGCUAAGAGUCUAGGGACAUUGAGUACUAAAGCAAAGGAAUCUGGAAGAAAAUAUGCAUUACCAAGACCCACUGGGCAUUUAGGGGUGGGACUCUCUUCUCAGAAAUGUAUCCACCUGAGUUUUGAUUAUGGCACCAACUGUGACCCCCCAGGGCCACAGUUAUUCAAGAGACUGAAAGCUUUCUGAGGUAUUGCCCUACAUAUAGCCAAUUGUGAUUCGAUUCCAGGGAACAAAUGGAACUAUUGUUACUAUAACAAUCUCCUUGCUAUGUAGACCUUCUCUACCUGAACUGCUUGACUUCAUAUCUAGGCUGAUAUUGGAGUUCUCGAAUAACUAUAUAACAUUAAGCUUCUAGAUGCAAUUCAAGGGUUGUUAUAUAUAAAGCUCUUCAUGAUGCAGGACUGGGUAUUCACAGGACCAUCUGUCUCCAACUGUCUACUCAUUCCCUCAGAUUUGGCAGAUUGGUUAUGCUUCAGGUCUCUUCCACAAAACAAUGUCACUUAGACCCAGAGAUCAUGUCUUCUUUGAUGCAACAUUUGUCCUAUGCAGCAUCAUUCCCUUCAAGGCUAAAAUUCUUCUGUCCUUUCACAAGUGCCUUAAAGACAAGGCUCUUCCCCAACUUUGAGUCAGGCCCUGUAAAAUAUAAGACAUUUGAAUGAAAUUUGUGUUGCUGGCAUGGCAUGGUUCCUAUUAUUGUUAAUUUCUGUUAUUCUGUUAUCAAGUUGCUCUCUAUCUUCUUAUUUACUUUAUUAUUUGAUAGUUUACAUACUUGUUUCCAUGUUUUUCCAAUUAAGAGCAAGGGUGGUAUUCAGCUGGUUCGGACCGGUUCGGGUGAAACAGUUGUUAAGAUUUUGUGCAGUUCGGAGAAAUGCUUACCUGCUGCCUUGCUUUACACGGCCCAGGCCAACACUGUCAGUCUGAUCUGCUUACAAGCCUCCCUGAAUCUGCCUGCCUCCCAUGUGACCUGCCUGCCUUGGGCUGCAAAAAUGUGAAGCACGGUUUUAAUCAAGGAUCGUGGAAGUCCUCAAAUUUCAUUGCUUACUACAGACCACAAGCUAGUGGAGAUCUUGCAAGCUUCUGAGGAACUCUCAUCAUAUAUUGGCCAAGUUUAGAAAGAUUGUUCCAUUGACUUUUCUGAGGUAAAGCUUAACAUUAUUAAACAGCACAUAUACUCUGCAGCCAGAAAUAUUGUUAGAGAUGUGGAUGAGCUCAUUUUGUUGAGGGAUGGCAGAAGAUUGGAUAUGGCUAUAAUCUGGAAGAGUUAUGCACCAAGUUAAAAAGAACAUUGUGAAAUAACUGUACUAUACAAAGAGGGGAUGUUGAUGGAAGAGGAAGCACUGUGACAAGCAGGACACAUUCUAAUUCAAAAUGACCUUUAUCCAUGAGGUCUCUGAAGAAUGUGCUUAAUCUGAGCUGGAUCUUUUUCAAGUGACAUUCAUACAAACCAGAUCUGAAAAUGGUAUGUAUCUUGAAAUCCCUCCUUUAUCCACCCUCCCCUUGGAAUGCCCCUGGAUUUUUUUCCCUCCCCCACUGGCAAACAUUACACAGUCUUAAAAACUUGGUGCAACAUUGUAAAGACUACUGGUACAGAUAUUGAAAAUGGUGUAUGUGCAGCCCUGAUCACUAGUCCUGAAUUUCACUGUUUAACCAGCUACCAGAUGUUGCAAUGGGAGACUGUUUCAUCACACAGUGAUGCCAUUGGUAUUCUUAUUGGGCUAAACUUUGGUAGUGAUGCUUUGGGGACUCAGUUUACAACUGGAGCAUUUCAGAAAGAACUCAUGCAGAAUACCUUGUUGCUGCAUGAAGGAAACCCCACUUUCAAGUCUACGGCAAAAUACAUAGCCUUGAAUUAUCAAUAAAAUUUGCUGGGCUCUUUGCUGUUUUUUGUCCCCCAAAACAAACUGCUAAUUAAUUGUCUUAAUAUGAAAGCCAAACUAAAACUUGAUGCAGGAUACCAGUGAGAAUUAAAAGUGCAACUCCUAUCUAAAUGUUACACAUAUUUAUUGCCUCUGCAGAUAGGACAGGAUGUUGUGAAGGAUUGUAUGAUAGCGUGGGGGCGAAAUUCUGGAUAUCCCCUUGACUUCCAGCAAUGGGAACAGAUUUGGUUGAAAAAUAUGAAAUUAACCAUGGCCUCUUCAUACAAAGAAAACAUAUAUAAAAUGGUCUACCGGUGGCAUCUCCCCCCUGUGAGACUAGCUAAAAUGUUUCCCAGGACAUCUUCCUGCUGUUGGAAAUGCGGUUACAGUAAUGGAACUUAUUUUCACCAAUGGUGAACCUGCCCUCAGGCGGUUAAAUAUUGGAAAAAAAUACGGCAAUGGAUUUUGGAAAUUACACAGAUCAAUUUGGAAUUAAGGCCCGAGAUUUUCCUGUUGGGGGCAAAACCUUUGAAUGUUAAAUCAGGUAUAUGGUUCUUGUUGAUUCACAUUAUUACUGCAGCAAGAUUAGCGUAUACGCAGGAGUGGAAAAAUCAAUACUUACCGAUGGAUUUGAAAAUAAUAUAUAAAAUUAAUGAGUGUGUGGAAUCAGAUAGAUUAACUAGAUUGAUCAAUGGUAAAAAAGAUUCAGAAUUUUAUAACAGUUGGAAAUUAUGGUACGAUUGGGUCCAGAAAAGGUGGGAUAGAAUAGAUAUAUGAUGAUGUAUAUAUAUGAUGGCAAGUAUGUAUGUAUAAAGGAAUGACUUUAUAUUUAUGGACAAUGUACUCACAUUACACCAUGGUGGCAGGAUUGUAUAUUUCAUUUGUGUAUUGGUGCAUAGAAUAUAUUAAUAAAAAAUAUUUUUUAAAAAAGU